rnacentral:rRNA from 1 species
CCACCCGAGACUCAGUGAAAUUGAACUCGCUGUGAAGAUGCAGUGUACCCGCGGCAAGACGGAAAGACCCCGUGAACCUUUACUAUAGCUUGACACUGAACAUUGAGCCUUGAUGUGUAGGAUAGGUGGGAGGCUUUGAAGUGUGGACGCCAGUCUGCAUGGAGCCGACCUUGAAAUACCACCCUUUAAUGUUUGAUGUUCUAACGUUGACCCGUAAUCCGGGUUGCGGACAGUGUCUGGUGGGUAGUUUGACUGGGGCGGUCUCCUCCUAAAGAGUAACGGAGGAGCACGAAGGUUGGCUAAUCCUGGUCGGACAUCAGGAGGUUAGUGCAAUGGCAUAAGCCAGCUUGACUGCGAGCGUGACGGCGCGAGCAGGUGCGAAAGCAGGUCAUAGUGAUCCGGUGGUUCUGAAUGGAAGGGCCAUCGCUCAACGGAUAAAAGGUACUCCGGGGAUAACAGGCUGAUACCGCCCAAGAGUUCAUAUCGACGGCGGUGUUUGGCACCUCGAUGUCGGCUCAUCACAUCCUGGGGCUGAAGUAGGUCCCAAGGGUAUGGCUGUUCGCCAUUUAAAGUGGUACGCGAGCUGGGUUUAGAACGUCGUGAGACAGUUCGGUCCCUAUCUGCCGUGGGCGCUGGAGAACUGAGGGGGGCUGCUCCUAGUACGAGAGGACCGGAGUGGACGCAUCACUGGUGUUCGGGUUGUCAUGCCAAUGGCACUGCCCGGUAGCUAAAUGCGGAAGAGAUAAGUGCUGAAAGCAUCUAAGCACGAAACUUGCCCCGAGAUGAGUUCUCCCUGACUCCUUGAGAGUCCUGAAGGAACGUUGAAGACGACGACGUUGAUAGGCCGGGUGUGUAAGCGCAGCGAUGCGUUGAGCUAACCGGUACUAAUGAACCGUGAGG